CCUCGUCUAUAUAAAUUGCACCCUAAGUCUCUGGUUUUUACACCAAUAUUCAAUUAAGUCCUUGACUUUUACAAUUAUACAAUUUAGUCCGUUUUGUCCACAGAGUCGCCAAUUACACUUUUAGACCUAACAUUCACAAAUUGCAAAAAUAAAAAAUUACAUCACGCACAGUGAAAUUGGAUUACUUUAUUGUUGUAUCUACAGUAUCGCAUCUUUGCCCUUUUUAUAAGAAGUUAGAUAUAUGAUAUAUGAUAUCACCAUUUAUUUUGAUCAUUUUUCUGUAUGUUGGAAUAAACCCAUUUGCAUUGGCAGCCAUUCCGUUGGCUAUCAAUAUGGUGCCACAAUUCAAUCAUAAAAGGACGUGGAAAACUUAGAAUUGUUUUUGGUCAUUUCACUUUGUUGCAAUUGUUUGCUAGAAAAUGUGGAGGGACCCUUGGAAUUGGAUGUCUAUGACUUUAAAGAAUUGUUGCCCUUGCCAUAUAUAAUGUUGAUCAGGUUCAAGGAUAUAUUUCAGAAGUUACAUGAAUAGAAGUGGAAGGAGCAAUUUGAAGAACAUUCAUUAUGGAUAACUUCAAAUUACUUUAUGCUGCAAGGAGUGUCAAGUAUAAAAGGUUGGAGUAACAAUUAUAAAUUCAAAGAGCUCAAGAACCCACAUUAUAGUUACAUCCACAAUUGAGUCCUGGUGCAAGAUAAUAUUAGCAAAUGGCUAUAGUUUCAAUUUGUUCUAAAAAUUAUCUAAUUUUAUACGGUGUAGCAAUCUUCCAUUAUAAACCAUAUGGACAAACACACUUUUUUCAUAGUUUUCUUAUUUUAAUCUAAAGUUUUCCCUCUAUAUUCGUGGCAUUUAAGAUACAUAAAAGGCAAAACUAAGUGAAUAUUUAUUAAUAUAUAUUUUUCCCUCAAUAUCCAUGAACAACAAACCUAUUAGAAUGUGAACUUUUGUUCUUUCAAAUUUUGAAAUUAGUACUUUAUUCAUUUUCUUGCAAUGAAUCCGCUCGGGAAUCCUCAUCAAAUUGCUUUGGUAUUUCUAAGACUAGCAAGAUCAACUUGGUAGACCAGGUCAAAUUUGAAAGAAUGUGCUUGAUGCUGCUGCUAAAGAGCAAGUGGGAAAAUACAUAAAGAAGUCCAUGUCACAAUUUGGGUAUGUGAAAUGAAUAUUUUUAAUGAGUCAUCCAAUGCAUCUUUUUUAUUCUCGUUAUUUUCAGCAUUUAUGGUUUUCUGAUGCUGUCCUUUUCCUUCCAUCUUUUGCACUUAAUGAUCCUUUACCAAAACCAAGAUGUGAUGCUAAAAUUAUCUUAAAUUUAAUUCUGCAAGUAUGUUCAUAGUUGCACAUGAAUAAACAAUUUUGAUAAUAUUUGCUAAUAGCUCUACAAUCAGGAGUGGCUCUUGUUAAAUAUCGUUGCGGAAAUAAGUCAUAAUGGGAAAUCUUAAGACGUUCCAUUUUUUCCUGUCUAACUCAUCUGCUAAGAGAAUCAUUUGGUGGCAAUGCUAAACUCUUCAUUAUCUGUGUCAUUGUUCCGGAUAACAAGUACUGGACUAUAUAAUUUUCCUUUCCAUAAAGUAUUAGAUGUACU